GCGAACGCUGGCGGCAGGCCUAACACAUGCAAGUCGAACGAACUCUUCGGAGUUAGUGGCGGACGGGUGAGUAACACGUGGGAACGUGCCUUUAGGUUCGGAAUAACUCAGGGAAACUUGAGCUAAUACCGGAUGUGCCCUUCGGGGGAAAGAUUUAUCGCCUUUAGAGCGGCCCGCGUCUGAUUAGCUAGUUGGUGAGGUAAAGGCUCACCAAGGCGACGAUCAGUAGCUGGUCUGAGAGGAUGAUCAGCCACAUUGGGACUGAGACACGGCCCAAACUCCUACGGGAGGCAGCAGUGGGGAAUCUUGCGCAAUGGGCGAAAGCCUGACGCAGCCAUGCCGCGUGAAUGAUGAAGGUCUUAGGAUUGUAAAAUUCUUUCACCGGGGACGAUAAUGACGGUACCCGGAGAAGAAGCCCCGGCUAACUUCGUG
rnacentral:rRNA from 1 species